CCUACGGGAGGCAGCAGUGAGGAAUAUUGGUCAAUGGGCGUAAGCCUGAACCAGCCAAGUAGCGUGAGGGAUGAAGGUUCUAUGGAUUGUAAACCUCUUUUAUAUGGGAAUAAAGUGUGGGAUGUGUCCUAUUUUGCAUGUACCUUAUGAAUAAGGAUCGGCUAACUCCGUGCCAGCAGCCGCGGUAAUACGGAGGAUCCGAGCGUUAUCCGGAUUUAUUGGGUUUAAAGGGUGCGUAGGCGGCCUUUUAAGUCAGCUGUGAAAGUUUGUGGCUCAACCAUAGAAUUGCCGUUGAAACUGGGGGCCUUGAGUAUGUUAGAGGCAGGCGGAAUGCGUGGUGUAGCGGUGAAAUGCUUAGAUAUCACGCAGAACCCCGAUUGCGAAGGCAGCCUGCUAAGCCAUGACUGACGCUGAUGCACGAAAGCGUGGGGAUCAAACAGGAUUAGAUACCCUUGUAGUC
rnacentral:rRNA from 1 species